GCUUUGUUUACAUGGUUUUUAAAGGGGCCGCGCUCGCUCCGGCAGGCGGGCGCUGGAGUGGGAGUUGGCGCUGCCUUCUGCUCGUUUGCGUGGUGAGGGCUCCUGGAUGGGGGCCGAGGUCUGUCGCCGCCCCGGGACCCCUGCACCCAGUGGCUUCCUCUCUUCCCAACCGUCUUCCCCCUUGACUCGCCCCUGGACGUCUCCCACCCCCACCCCCACCCCACCCUGCAGCUACGGGGACCCCCCACACCCCACCUAGGCUGCCUGCGAGAUUCCUUACUUUCCAAU
rnacentral:lncRNA from 1 species